UACGGAGGAUGCGAGCGUUAUCCGGAUUUAUUGGGUUUAAAGGGUGCGUAGGCGGAUCGUUAAGUCAGUGGUCAAAUUGAGGGGCUCAACCCCUUCCCGCCAUUGAAACUGGCGAUCUUGAGUGGAAGAGAAGUAUGCGGAAUGCGUGGUGUAGCGGUGAAAUGCAUAGAUAUCACGCAGAACCCCGAUUGCGAAGGCAGCAUGCCGGCUUCCUACUGACGCUGAAGCACGAAAGCGUGAGGAUCGAACAGG
rnacentral:rRNA from 1 species